GCUGGAGAGAACAGUUGAAGAUUGAGUGAACAUGUCGCUGUACUGCUGGCUCAUUGCGGUAACCGCUUUGCCCUGCGGAUAUUUUGCACAAACACUGAAACAGAUUGUCCCAUCCAUUACCAAAAAUGUGGGUAAAACCGCUAGAUUCAAAUGCGAAGUCGAAGGUGCAACUAUCAGUAAUAGCAAUCCCCUUCACUGGUACCAGCAAAAGCCGGGCCAGGCACCCACCCGAAUCCUUUAUUAUGGAGCAGGCGCAACGUGGGAUCCGGGAUUCGGUGAACGGUUCAAAGCCGGGAAAUCUAACAACAAAGUAUUCUACCUCACAAUCGACAAACUAGAGCCAGAGGACACCGCCACCUAUUACUGUGCGUACUGGAUACACAGUGCAACACAUCAAUACAAAGUUUGUACAAAAACACUGAACGAUUUGAAGCGAAACAUUUCGAGGAAUUCACAGACUCCUCCCCUAUUUGGGUAA